GGCGGCGUGCUUAACACAUGCAAGUCGAACGGAAAGGUCUCUUCGGAGAUACUCGAGUGGCGAACGGGUGAGUAACACGUGGGUAAUCUGCCCUGCACUUCGGGAUAAGCCUGGGAAACUGGGUCUAAUACCGAAUAGGACCCCGAGGCGCAUGCCUUGGGGUGGAAAGCUUUUGCGGUGUGGGAUGGGCCCGCGGCCUAUCAGCUUGUUGGUGGGGUGACGGCCUACCAAGGCGACGACGGGUAGCCGGCCUGAGAGGGUGUCCGGCCACACUGGGACUGAGAUACGGCCCAGACUCCUACGGGAGGCAGCAGUGGGGAAUAUUGCACAAUGGGCGCAAGCCUGAUGCAGCGACGCCGCGUGGGGGAUGACGGCCUUCGGGUUGUAAACCUCUUUCACCAUCGACGAAGGUCCGGGUUUUCUCGGAUUGACGGUAGGUGGAGAAGAAGCACCGGCCAACUACGUGCCAGCAGCCGCGGUAAUACGUAGGGUGCGAGCGUUGUCCGGAAUUACUGGGCGUAAAGAGCUCGUAGGUGGUUUGUCGCGUUGUUCGUGAAAUCUCACGGCUUAACUGUGAGCGUGCGGGCGAUACGGGCAGACUGGAGUACUGCAGGGGAGACUGGAAUUCCUGGUGUAGCGGUGGAAUGCGCAGAUAUCAGGAGGAACACCGGUGGCGAAGGCGGGUCUCUGGGCAGUAACUGACGCUGAGGAGCGAAAGCGUGGGGAGCGAACAGGAUUAGAUACCCUGGUAGUCCACGCCGUAAACGGUGGGUACUAGGUGUGGGUUUCCUUCCUUGGGAUCCGUGCCGUAGCUAACGCAUUAAGUACCCCGCCUGGGGAGUACGGCCGCAAGGCUAAAACUCAAAGGAAUUGACGGGGGCCCGCACAAGCGGCGGAGCAUGUGGAUUAAUUCGAUGCAACGCGAAGAACCUUACCUGGGUUUGACAUGCACAGGACGCGUCUAGAGAUAGGCGUUCCCUUGUGGCCUGUGUGCAGGUGGUGCAUGGCUGUCGUCAGCUCGUGUCGUGAGAUGUUGGGUUAAGUCCCGCAACGAGCGCAACCCUUGUCUCAUGUUGCCAGCGGGUAAUGCCGGGGACUCGUGAGAGACUGCCGGGGUCAACUCGGAGGAAGGUGGGGAUGACGUCAAGUCAUCAUGCCCCUUAUGUCCAGGGCUUCACACAUGCUACAAUGGCCGGUACAAAGGGCUGCGAUGCCGCAAGGUUAAGCGAAUCCUUUUAAAGCCGGUCUCAGUUCGGAUCGGGGUCUGCAACUCGACCCCGUGAAGUCGGAGUCGCUAGUAAUCGCAGAUCAGCAACGCUGCGGUGAAUACGUUCCCGGGCCUUGUACACACCGCCCGUCACGUCAUGAAAGUCGGUAACACCCGAAGCCAGUGGCCUAACCCUCGGGAGGGAGCUGUCGAAGGUGGGAUCGGCGAUUGGGACGAAGUCGUAACAAGGUAGCCG
rnacentral:rRNA from 1 species